UGCAGCUGUGGUCUGGAGUCCGAAACAAGAAGAGUCUCAUUUAUCAUCCUGCUAAAUAAACUUAAAUAUGUGUACCUAUAAUAUUUUACCAAAUGGGAUUGUAUUGUUUGACAACCUGCUUUUUCUUCCUUAACGUAAAGUGGCCCAUUGCACUAAAUGUGCUUUGAAAUGUUACUUGAAUACUUGUGAGAGGGAGACAAAGACGCUCUCCAGCAUCAGUGACAUGUGGGCUGCAUCCAAAAGGCUGAGUCACAGCCCUCCAGGGAGAGAAAAAGGGAGACCUUGUACUGAAAGAUGUGGAAGCAAGAAAGAACAUUCACUGUUGUGGGAAGCGGAAGGAGGGGAGGAGACAUCUGUCCAUCCUGUGAAAUUCAAGGUCUUGCAAUAGGAAGGGGAUUGCCUCAUGAGGAAAAGAAAUCUCAUGGAGUAGAAGAAACCAGAGAGGCCACGGUAUCAGAGUGUGACAGUCAAAGGACACAAAAGAAAAAGUUAUUUAAACCAGCAACCAGCCUUAAGAGGAAACUGAGGAGGAAGCAGCGAAUGUGGAACACCCUUUCUGUCCUGCCAUACCCUGGGUGCUGGGAUACAACGACAAGAGAAGAACAAGCAUCAGAACAUGUGUGUGCAACCAAAGACCAUCGCAGCCCCAGACCAUCUGCGCAAGAAGAGCCUGGGCAAGUGCUGGUUGAAGAGGGACGUCUUGAAGGCACGUUUGCACAAAUCACUCUUAAUUGGAUGAAAAAGUGUGCCGAUCCCUGGAGCAGGUCUUCCAAAGCACAGAAGACAACGAUCUUUAAGACAAGAGCGCUGCCUCCUUCCUUUGCAGACCACCACCUCAUCACUUCAAUUUCCUCUAAAGAAAACAAACUGUUUUUCUCAUAUUUCAUGGCUUUGAGGUUUAUUCCAAGCCUUGCCAGUGGCCUCAGGCUCCUCGUUGCCUUAUUUGAAACAAGAGAUAUAGAGCAGCCGAGACAGAUGACGAUGUGGAGAGGGAAGGAGGCGAGACGGGGCCCACGCUCAGACUCCCUAAAUCCACGAGGGAAACUUCCUUCUGUUGGCACCAGUUCAAAACGAUGCGAUGUGGCCUUUUCUAAAGCUUCGCACUAUUUUUAUUGCAGUAAAAUGUUUAUUGUGUUUACAGAGAGAAUUGUUGUCUUAAAACUGAUGUUUACUAUGGUAGGGUUUGACCUGUGCUUGGUGAAGCUAUGUUUUAAAAUAAUACACUCAAGUUUAUGAAGGAAACCUCAACUCUUCCCAAAGAGAGAAACUGAAGGGUUUUUUUGCUGAAAUAAGUAUUUCAUUAGGUUAGAAAAAUUGAUAUAUUUUUGUUAUUUAAUGACUUCAUCACGCUCUGUGAAAUGCAUCACUCCAUUUUAUCUGCUCUUUGUCUGGAAUCACCACAUGCUACUAACUGGCUCCUCUUUAUUCUUUGCUACACUACAGAAAUUCUUUAUCAUUUAACUUUAUCACAGGCAGGCAGAGCCUGGUUCCUAUUAGAGAGAUAAGGACUGUUUCCUUAAUUAC
rnacentral:lncRNA from 1 species